UUUAUACGUCGAAUUUUGGUCGCGUCGAAUGCAAUUAAGACAAAAGGUAAUAAGAUGAUAAACCUCAUUAAGCUUCAUUAUCUAUUGUUUGAAUUGCAUUCGACGCGACCGAAAUUCGACGUAUAAA